rnacentral:rRNA from 1 species
CCUACGGGUGGCAGCAGGGGGGAAUAUUGGGCAAUGGGCGCAAGCCUGACCCAGCAACGCCGCGUGAAGGUAGAAGGCUUUCGGGUUGUAAACUUCUUUUCUCAGGGACGAAGCAAGUGACGGUACCUGAGGACUAAGCCACGGCUAACUACGUGCCAGCAGCCGCGGUAAUACGUAGGUGGCAAGCGUUAUCCUGAUUUACUGGGUGUAAAGGGCGUGUAGGCGGGGACGCAAGUCAGAUGUGAAAACCAAGGGCUCCACCGGUGGCCUGCAUUUGAAACUGUGUUUCUUGAGUACUGGAGAGGCAGACGGAAUUCGUAGUGUAGCGGUGAAAUGCGUAGAUAUUAGGAGGAACACCAGUGGCGAAGGCGGUCUGCUGGACAGCAACUGACGCUGAGGCGCGAAAGCGUGGGGAGCAAACAGGAUUAGAUACCCUGGUAGUC